AUUGAACGCUGGCGGCAGGCCUAACACAUGCAAGUCGAACGAGUGGCGGACGGGUGAGUAAUGUCUGGGAAACUGCCUGAUGGAGGGGGAUAACUACUGGAAACGGUAGCUAAUACCGCAUACCAUCGGAUGUGCCCAGAUUGGAUUAGCUAGUAGGGGGGGUAACGGGGCACCUAGGAGACGAUCCCUAGCUGGUCUGAGAGGAUGACCAGCCACACUGGAACUGUGACACGGUCCAGACUCCUACGGGAGGCAGCAGUGGGGAAUAUUGCACAAUGGGUGAAAGCCGGGUGCAUCCAUGCCGCGUGUAUGAAGAAGGCCUUCGGGUUGUAAAGUACUUUCAGCGGGGAGGCGUUACCCGCAGAAGAAGCACCGGCUAACUCCGUGCCAGCCGCCGCGGUAAUAC
rnacentral:rRNA from 1 species